ensembl:lncRNA
AAUGCCCCAUAGAGACCCCAUAAAGCCCCAUAGAGACCCCAUAGAGCCCCAUAGAGACCCCAUAAUGGCCCCAUAGAGACCCCAUAAUGCCCCAUAGAGACCCAUAGAGCCCCAUAGAGACCCCAUAAUGCCCCAUAGAGACCCCAUAAUGCCCCAUAGAGCCCCAUAGAGACCCCAUAAUGCCCCAUAGAGACCCCAUAAUGCCCGAUAGAGCCCCAUAGAGAUCCAUAGAGACCCCAACCCCACCACCCCCCCCCCCC